UAUGGGUGCCGGGGUCGGGGUGAGGAUACCCACCUGCCCAAAGGAUAAGGAAGAUGCACCAAGUCAUGCAGGGUGGACCAUCUCAGCUCCAGGGACCCCUUAGAUCAGAGCACAGCUUUGCCCCUCACUGUACCUAUAACUAAUUCUGUAAUCUCAGAAAAAUUGCUCAGCUUCCCCGAGAAUUAGUUGCUUUAUCCAUAAAAUAGGCAUAAUAACAUAUUUCUGGGUCAUGAAGGAUUAAAUUAACCAAUGAAUAAAGAGAGACUUGUGAACUACAAAGAGCUAGCCAAAUCCAAGGUAUAUUUUCCAAGAAGUAGAGAAUUCAGGCAACUUGCAAAGCAGUCUAGAGCUGGACUGGGCUGGAAAGAGAUAUCCAUACCUAGGGUUGCCAUGUGUAGUUGUUCAGGUUGUAUACUGCACAAAUGUAGGGAUGACUUUCACAUUCGUAGUAUGAAGGAUAUGUAUAUUUAACAUGACACUUUCCUGCAGAUGCCUUAAAAUGUCUAUGGAAAGGAUGAUGUAUUCAUAUUCCUAAGAAAAUAUUGAACAAACUCAUGGUGAAGUUCUCUGUCCAUAUCCUAUUUUGUAAGAUGAAAGAAACUAAACCUCAAAACUGAACUCUCUUCUACAUGGGUUGUAACAUUGAAUCACAGUUCUGUAUCUUAAUUGUUCUGUGACUUACAUAUAGGGCUGGAGGCCAGAAAAAAAAUCAUCAACUUUUAAAAAUGCAUCAAUUAACUUUAGAUUGACCCAGAACAAAACUGUCAGUUGACUGUAGUGGGCCAAACCAGGUACAAUGUAUCUUACUAGAAAUACAGAAAUUUACAAACAUUUGAACUGACAUUUUAAAACUAGGAGACUUCACAUAAGAUUCAGCUUUCCAGCCUCUCUUUAAAAUAUGGGAGACCUGGCUCACUGGGCCACCUUUUAGAGGAGCAGGAAGGAGCUCCCCAGCCCUGCGGGCAUCUGAGUGGCAGCACUGCAGGGAACUGAAAUACCAUUGUCCUAAGCUGUUCCAGGAGGCACUGGGGUCUGGUCAACCCCUGAUGCCCAGCAGCGAGCUCCAGAGACCCGUCUCCCCGCAGGAUGGAGGUCAGAAGCUGCCGCCAAGCACAUGAACCACCUUGGCUUCCCUCUGUGCACCCUCUCCACUUCCUAACUUCCCUAGCUUGGAAACAAUGAGGAAAAGGCUGGGCGCGGUGGCUCAUGCCUGUAAUCCUGGCACUUUGGGAGGCCGAGGUGGGCAGAUCACCUGAGAUCAGGAGUUCGAGACCAGCCUGACGAAUAUGGUGAAACUCCAUUUUUACUAAAAAUACAAAAAUUAGCUGGGUGUGGUGGUGGGCGCCUAUAAUCCCAGCUACAUGGGAGGCUGAGGCAAGAGAAUCACUUGAACCCGGGAGAUGGAGGUUGCAGUGAGUCGAGAUCACACCAUUGUACUCCAGCCUGGGUGAUGGAGAAAGACUCUGUCUCAAAAAAAAAAAAGAAAAAGAAAAA
rnacentral:lncRNA from 1 species